AGAACCCUGUGAAAAUGAAGUCAUGCUGUCCAGACCAGCUCGGCAUCAAAAGUGAAAACAGAUGACUUAGCUAUUUCCUUUUCUUUUCAAAUUUGCUAGUAAGGUUUAGUGACCUAACUUCAGGGCUAAAUAUGUGAAGAUUAAGUCAGAAAACUCAAGGACAUAUUAAAAAUGAGCCAGUGGCACAUGUCUGCAAUCCCAACACUUGGGAGGCUGAAGCAGGAGGAUCACCGUGAGUUUGAGGCCAGCCUGAACUACACAGCAAGCCCUUGUCUCAAAAAAAAACCUCAAAUAGAUAGACAGACAGACAGACAGAUAGAUGGAUGACAUAUUCUGAACUCAGCUCAAAUAGAGCUUCUAUUAAAUCUUUCCAGCAAACUCUUUCUGGAGAUGUACUGAUGUAGCUGCGCAAGUCACUGCAAUAUGCUAAGACAAAGUCUUGCUGUGUAGUCCAGGCUGGUAUUGAGCUGAACCUUUUGGCUUGUCAAAUUAAUCAAAAGGAAGGACCACGCAUGCUGCAGGGG
rnacentral:lncRNA from 1 species